CCCUUAGAUGUUCUGGGCCGCACACGCGCUACACUGAAGGAGGCAGCGUGUACUCCUGGAUCGAAAGAUUUGGGUAACCCGCGAAUCUCCUUCGUGCUAGGGAUUGAGGUUUGCAAUUAUCCUUCAUGAACGAGGAAUUCCCAGUAAGUGCAAGUCAUAAGCUUGCGCUGACUACGUCCCUGCCCUUUGUACACACCGCCCGUCGCUACUACCGAUUGAACGUUUUAGUGAGGUAUUUGGACUGGACCUUUGAAGGUUAAUUCCUUCAUUGUUGUUCGGGAAGACUCCCAAACUUGAGCGUUUAGAGGAAGUAAAAGUCGUAACA
rnacentral:rRNA from 1 species